rnacentral:rRNA from 1 species
UACGUAGGGACCAAGCGUUGUUCGGAUUUACUGGGCGUAAAGGGCGCGUAGGCGGCAAUUCAAGUCAUCUGUGAAAUCUCCGGGCUUAACUCGGAAUGGUCAGGUGAUACUGCUUUGCUAGAGUGCAGAAGGGGCAAUCGGAAUUCUUGGUGUAGCGGUGAAAUGCGCAGAUAUCAAGAGGAACACCUGAGGUGAAGACGGGUUGCUGGGCUGACACUGACGCUGAGGCGCGAAAGCUAGGGGAGCAAACGGG